AGUGAACGCUGGCGGUAGGCCUAACACAUGCAAGUCGAACGGCAGCACAGUAAGAGCUUGCUCUUACGGGUGGCGAGUGGCGGACGGGUGAGGAAUACAUCGGAAUCUACUUUUUCGUGGGGGAUAACGUAGGGAAACUUACGCUAAUACCGCAUACGACCUACGGGUGAAAGCAGGGGAUCUUCGGACCUUGCGCGAUUGAAUGAGCCGAUGUCGGAUUAGCUAGUUGGCGGGGUAAAGGCCCACCAAGGCGACGAUCCGUAGCUGGUCUGAGAGGAUGAUCAGCCACACUGGAACUGAGACACGGUCCAGACUCCUACGGGAGGCAGCAGUGGGGAAUAUUGGACAAUGGGCGCAAGCCCGAUCCAGCCAUACCGCGUGGGUGAAGAAGGCCUUCGGGUUGUAAAGCCCUUUUGUUGGGAAAGAAAAGCGGCAGGUUAAUACCCCGCUGUUCUGACGGUACCCAAAGAAUAAGCACCGGCUAACUUCGUG
rnacentral:rRNA from 1 species